GUGGGGAAUAUUGGGCAAUGGGCGAAAGCCUGACCCAGCAACGCCGCGUGAAGGAAGAAGGUUUUCGGAUCGUAAACUUCUAUCCUUGGUGAAGAUAAUGACGGUAGCCAAGAAGGAAGCCCCGGCUAACUACGUGCCAGCAGCCGCGGUAAUACGUAGGGGGCAAGCGUUGUCCGGAAUGAUUGGGCGUAAAGGGCGCGUAGGCGGCCUGGUAAGUCUGGAGUGAAAGUCCUGCUUUUAAGGUGGGAAUUGCUUUGGAUACUGUCGGGCUUGAGUGCAGGAGAGGUAAGUGGAAUUCCCGGUGUAGCGGUGAAAUGCGUAGAGAUCGGGAGGAACACCAGUGGCGAAGGCGGCUUACUGGACUGUAACUGACGCUGAGGCGCGAAAGUGUGGGGAGCAAACAGGAUUAGAUACCCGUGUAGUCC
rnacentral:rRNA from 1 species